rnacentral:rRNA from 1 species
AGAGUUUGAUCCUGGCUCAGGACGAACGCUGGCGGCGUGCUUAACACAUGCAAGUCGAACGGAAAGGCCCCGCUUGCGGGGUACUCGAGUGGCGAACGGGUGAGUAACACGUGGGUGAUCUACCCUGCACUUCGGGAUAAGCCUGGGAAACUGGGUCUAAUACCGGAUAGGACCCCUCUUUAGUGUGGGGGGUGGAAAGUUUUUUCGGUGUGGGAUGAGCCCGCGGCCUAUCAGCUUGUUGGUGGGGUAAUGGCCUACCAAGGCGUCGACGGGUAGCCGGCCUGAGAGGGUGGACGGCCACAUUGGGACUGAGAUACGGCCCAGACUCCUACGGGAGGCAGCAGUGGGGAAUAUUGCACAAUGGGCGGAAGCCUGAUGCAGCGACGCCGCGUGGGGGAUGACGGCCUUCGGGUUGUAAACCUCUUUCGCUAGGGACGAAGCUUUUGUGACGGUACCUAGAUAAGAAGCACCGGCUAACUACGUGCCAGCAGCCGCGGUAAUACGUAGGGUGCGAGCGUUGUCCGGAAUUACUGGGCGUAAAGAGCUCGUAGGUGGUUUGUCGCGUCGUCUGUGAAAUUCCGGGGCUUAACUUCGGGCGUGCAGGCGAUACGGGCAAUACUUGAGUGCUGUAGGGGAGACUGGAAUUCCUGGUGUAGCGGUGGAAUGCGCAGAUAUCAGGAGGAACACCGAUGGCGAAGGCAGGUCUCUGGGCAGUAACUGACGCUGAGGAGCGAAAGCAUGGGUAGCGAACAGGAUUAGAUACCCUGGUAGUCCAUGCCGUAAACGGUGGGCGCUAGGUGUAGGGGUCUUCCACGACUUCUGUGCCGUAGCUAACGCAUUAAGCGCCCCGCCUGGGGAGUACGGCCGCAAGGCUAAAACUCAAAGGAAUUGACGGGGGCCCGCACAAGCGGCGGAGCAUGUGGAUUAAUUCGAUGCAACGCGAAGAACCUUACCUGGGCUUGACAUACACCGGACCGGGCCAGAGAUGGUCUUUCCCUUGUGGCUGGUGUACAGGUGGUGCAUGGUUGUCGUCAGCUCGUGUCGUGAGAUGUUGGGUUAAGUCCCGCAACGAGCGCAACCCUUGUCUUAUGUUGCCAGCACGUAGUGGUGGGGACUCAUGAGAGACUGCCGGGGUCAACUCGGAGGAAGGUGGGGAUGACGUCAAAUCAUCAUGCCCCUUAUGUCCAGGGCUUCACACAUGCUACAAUGGUCGGUACAACGCGUUGCGACACUGUGAGGUGGAGCUAAUCGCUGAAAGCCGGCCUCAGUUCGGAUUGGGGUCUACAACUCGACCCCAUGAAGUCGGAGUCGCUAGUAAUCGCAGAUCAGCAACGCUGCGGUGAAUACGUUCNCCGGACCUUGUACAGACCGCCCGUC